rnacentral:rRNA from 1 species
CCCUUAGAUGUCCGGGGCCGCACGCGCGCUACACUGAAGGAAUCAGCGUGGCUUUCUCCCUGACCCGAAAGGGUUGGGAAACCCGUUGAAUCUCCUUCGUGAUAGGGAUUGGGGCUUGAAAUUGUUCCCCAUGAACGAGGAAUUCCCAGUAAACGCAAGUCAUCAGCUUGCAUUGAUUACGUCCCUGCCCUUUGUACACACCGCCCGUCGCACCUACCGAUUGAAUGGUCCGGUGAAAUCUUCGGAUUGAGACUUUGAUUUCUUCACGGAAAACGCUGUUUUAAAAAGUUGAUUAAACCUUACCAUUUAGAGGAAGGUGAAGUCGUAACA